rnacentral:rRNA from 1 species
UACCAGCACCCCGAGUGGUCGGGGCGAUUAUUGGGCCUAAAGCAUCCGUAGCCGGUUCUACAAGUCUUCCGUUAAAUCCACCUGCUUAACAGAUGGGCUGCGGAGGAUACUAUGGAGCUAGGAGGCGGGAGAGGCAAGCGGUACUUAGUGGGUAGGGGUAAAAUCCGCUGAUCCAUAGAAGACCACCAGUGGCGAAGGCGGCUUGCCAGAACGCGCUCGACGGUGAGGGAUGAAAGCUGGGGGAGCAAACCGG